UCCUAUCUUUUUAUUUGAUGUGCUGAUGCUCUCUCCCAUACUCUUCGAUUAUUGGUUCAGAUGAUGGAGCUGGAGCCCUAUUGGCCUGCCUUUGGGAGUCAGCCGCUUUCACACCUUUUUGCAGAUGACUACUUGUUCAUUGGUUGGGCCUCAAUCCAAAAUAUGAGGUGCUUUGGGACUAUUAUUGAAGCCUUUUAUAGGACUUUUGGCCAGCUCAUGAAUCCGUAGAAGUCCACUAUCACUUUCAACCCCAAGACGAGGGUCUACGUGAAGCAGGAUAUUUGGGAC
rnacentral:lncRNA from 1 species